rnacentral:lncRNA from 1 species
UUGAGCCGCUUCACUCCGGUGGCGCCGAACGGCCCGUCGUGGCCGCAGGAGCUGACCACCACCCUGGCCUCCAUCACGUUGGGGUCCAUGCAGGACUGUGUGUCGUGGUUCAUUGACACCAGCGCCCAGUUGGUCACCACGCCGGCAACGCGGCCUUCCUUGACGAUGAGGUCCUCGGCGGCGACCGCGUUGAAGAGCUUGACAUUGGGGCGGGCGAGGAGGCGGCUCAUGAUGGUGGAGGUGAAGAGCGCGGCGUGGUGGAUCACGACGUAGCUGUCGGCUUCGUCAUAAGCCACGCCGAGCUCGUCCAGGAAGAGGUGG